UGGGGAAUUUUGGACAAUGGGGGCAACCCUGAUCCAGCAAUGCCGCGUGAGUGAAGAAGGCCUUCGGGUUGUAAAGCUCUUUUGUCAGGGAAGAAACGGUCCGGGCUAAUAUCCUGGGCUAAUGACGGUACCUGAAGAAUAAGCACCGGCUAACUACGUGCCAGCAGCCGCGGUAAUACGUAGGGUGCAAGCGUUAAUCGGAAUUACUGGGCGUAAAGCGUGCGCAGGCGGUUGUGCAAGACAGAUGUGAAAUCCCCGGGCUCAACCUGGGAAUUGCAUUUGUGACUGCACGGCUAGAGUGUGUCAGAGGGGGGUAGAAUUCCACGUGUAGCAGUGAAAUGCGUAGAGAUGUGGAGGAAUACCGAUGGCGAAGGCAGCCCCCUGGGAUAACACUGACGCUCAUGCACGAAAGCGUGGGGAGCAAACAGGAUUAGAUGCCCUGGUAGUCCACGCCCUAAACGAUGUCAACUAGUUGUCAGGUCUUAAUUGACUUGGUAACGCAGCUAACGCGUGAAGUUGACCGCCUGGGGAGUACGGUCGCAAGAUUAA
rnacentral:rRNA from 1 species